GACGAACGCUGGCGGCGUGCUUAACACAUGCAAGUCGAGCGGAGCGGCGAACGGGUGAGUAACGCGUGAGUAACUGCCCCCCUCUCUGGGAUAACAGUUGGAAACGGCUGCUAAUACCGGAUAGUGGGGGAUGACUCGCGUCCUAUCAGCUUGUUGGUGGGGUAGUGGCCUACCAAGGCGACGACGGGUAGCCGGCCUGAGAGGGCGACCGGCCCCAUGGGGCUGGGGACCGGCCCAACCUCCUACGGGAGGCAGCGGUGGGAAAAAUUGCCAAUUGGGGGAACCCUGGAUGCAGCACCGCGGGGGGGGAAUGACGGCCUUCGGGUUGUAAGCCGUUUUCGUCAAUACCGCGGUAGUGGCAGAAGAAGCACCGGCUAACUACGUGCCAGCAGCCGCGGUAAUAC
rnacentral:rRNA from 1 species